rnacentral:rRNA from 1 species
GAAUAUAGGACCAUGGGGGGACACCUGAUCCAGCCAUGCCGCGUGAGUGAAGAAGGCCUUCUGGUUGUAAAGCACUUUCAGCGACGAGGAGGGUACUCUAGUCAACAACUAAUGCUAGUGGACGCCACUCGAUGAAUACGCGACGGCUACUUCUGUGUCAGCAGCCUCGGUAAUACAGAGGGUGCAAGCGUUAAUCGGAUUUAAUGGGCGUAAAGCGCGCGUAGGUGGCCAAUUAAGUCAAAUGUGAAAUCCCCGAGCUUAACUUGGGAAUUGCAUUCGAUACUGGUUGGCUAGAGUAUGGGAGAGGAUGGUAGAAUUCCAGGUGUAGCGGUGAAAUGCGUAGAGAUCUGGAGGAAUACCGAUGGCGAAGGCAGCCAUCUGGCCUAAUACUGACACUGAGGUGCGAAAGCAUGGGGAGCAAACA